rnacentral:rRNA from 1 species
CUGGAUUUAUUGGGGUUUAAAAGGUGGCGUAGGGCGGCCUUGUAAGUCAGCGGUUGAAAUUUUGCAGCUUACAUGUAAAAGUGCCCGUGGUUACUGCGACGCCUACGAUUUGGGUUGCUGUGGGUGGGAAUGUGUGGUGUAGCGGGUGAUAUGGUUUAGAGAUCACACAGAAUAUCGAUUGCGAAGGGCAGCUCACCACAAGCCAAGAUUGACGCUGAGGCACGAAAAGUGUGGGGAUCAAACAGGAUUAGAUAUCCCUGGUAGUCCACACUGUAAACGAUGAUAACUCGCUGUCGGCGAUAUACAGUCGGUGGCCAAGCGAAAGCGAUAAGUUAUCCACCUGGGGAGUACGACCGCAAGGUUGAAACUCAAAGGAAUUGACGGGGGCCCGCACAAGCGGAGGAACAUGUGGUUUAAUUCGAUGAUACGCGAGGAACCUUACCCGGGCUCGAACGGUGCAGGAAUAUGGUAGAGAUAUCAUAGCUAGCAAUAGUCUGUAUCGAGGUGCUGCAUGGUUGUCGUCAGCUCGUGCCGUGAGGUGUCGGCUUAAGUGCCAUAGCGAGCGCAACCCUUGUCAUUAGUUACCAUCAGGUCAAGCUGGGGACUCUAAUGAGACUGCCACCGUAAGGUGAGAGGAAGGGGGGGAUGACGUCAAAUCAGCACGGCCCUUAUGUCCGGGGCGACACACGUGUUACAAUGGGGGGUACAGAGGGCAGCCAUCCGGCGACGGAGCGCCAAUCUCAAAAACCCUUCUCAGUUCGGAUUGGAGUCUGCAACCCGACUCCAUGAAGUUGGAUUCGCUAGUAAUCGCGCAUCAG